rnacentral:tRNA from 1 species
GGGAAUGGAGCUUAGUGGUAGAGUGCCUGCCUAGCAUGCAUGAAACCCUGGGUUCGAUUCCUCAAUACCA